AACGCCAAAGUCGAGGCACAUAUCGCCCUGGCUCCGGCCGUUUUCAUGAAGCACUCGGAGACAGCCUACUGGAAACUUCAUGACUCCUUCGUUUUCCUCAAUGAGUACCUCAACGAUAUGCAGGGAUCCUUUGUACAUGGAAUGAUGCCUCACUUCUUCUUUUCGUUCUGUAACUUCAAUUUUCUGACCCGAAGAUGUUGUAAACAUAUCACAAACAACAUUCUUGGACACUCUUAUUCAAAUAAAAAUGAGAGCGUGUACGAGGUUAUUCUUCACAACGGUUUGACUGGCUCUUCUCUCAAAACAGCUAGGCACUACAUACAACUUCAUGAAUCAGGAGGUCAAUUUCAAAGAUUUGAUUACGGCGAUGAGCAGUUAAAUUUGCAGCACUACGGACAACCAAGGCCGCCGCACUACGAUGUGUCAAAACAAGCAUUCCUGUCCACAUAUUUUAUGGUGCAACUGAUAUAGUUUGCCCAGAGCAGGAUAUAAUGUUGUUGAAGAAGGCUAUAACAGGUCCUACGGAUUUAACGCUAGUGGAAGAGCCACAUUUCAACCAUGGUGACUUCUUCAUGAGCAAUGAAGCGAAAACAGCUUUAAAUCCUAAAGUUCUGGAAAAAGUACGGCUCAUAAACGAGCUGCAUAGUAAAAGUAAAGCAUCCGUUCCUCCGUAGAAACUAAUGACGCUGAUUCGCAACUGCUCGAUCAGAAGGAGAAGGUAUAAGCAAACAUGGAAAAACGGGAAAAAAGAGAGAAAAGAAUGAUUGCCACAAAAAGUAGAAUCAUUAACUUCUAGAACUCUGAACCAGGCUCCAAAUAUUCUCUUCAAGGAUAAAUUGAGCUCAUUGUUGGAUCUGUUUUUUAUAAACAAAAUCAUAUUGCUCUCUAAGUUUAUAUGAAGGGCAAAAGGUAUCGUAGAUUUCGAUCCGGUAAUGGAAUUCUCCAUUUUCUCAUCAAAAUUCCCUUAUAAUACGACCAGGAUUAAUGUUUGAGUGUGAGGCUUGAUACUUUGUUUACCGCAGCAACCUUUUGUCCACUCAUUAUACUCACACCUGAAAACCACAAACAUUUUUAUUUUUUGUAGUUUAAUAAAGCUAACAACAGUAAAUCAAAAUUAUCGUAGCGUAUAAACUACGACAUCAAACUCUCACUAAUAGAAUGUAAGUGCCAAUAUUGCCACCGAAUUGAAAAGAAAUUAUUUCUAGAAACCUGCUUUUGUCAGGGAAUUUGGGUCCCAACCAAAUCUUAAAAUAUUUUUAUCCAGCAGGAAAGUAGCAUUACUUCUUCCGAAUAAACUAUGUCUGUUUUAUUUUUGAUUGAUUUGUUUGUUUAUAUAACAAACUUGCAGAAAUAAUUAUGGUCGAUUAUCACUCAUCAUCAUAGGACCGAUCUCAAAAGUACGAAUAAAAUGUUCGUUACAGAUCCUACAUCACAAUGCAAUGUAAAGAUGCAGAUGUGAAAAAAUUAAUUUUAAACUUGUUUUAUUACGAUUCAAAAUUUUCGAGUGAAAGCUUUAUUUGCAGACAUCACAUUCAUCUGUCAUUUGAAAAAUCGCGUGAAACGUGAAUUUGAAAACGAGUAAAACCAAAUUACGUUACUCGAGUGUUCCUGCUUCCUGCACGCAAUAACCGUCCGAUUCUCGAAGAAUGAACAAUACUUCUUUUAAAUUGUAUGUGCAUGUGAUAUGUAAAAGAUAUUUUUUUUCUAGUCAUGUGUUUUAAUAAACCAAUUGUGUCCCGUUUUCAAAUCCUAUAGUCUUUUAUUUUUCUGGAAGGGAACUGAUACCCGCUGAGUCCUAUUUUCAAAUAUAAAUUGAUACUCUUGGAUUCUGGAUUCUACUUGGAUUCAAAUUCAAAUCGUUCAAUGGACGACAUUUCAUAAUAAAUCCAUAAAUCAAAUUCUAACUCUUUAAAAUAGACCGUUUCAAAAAGCCGAAUGCAGCGACCUUCUGAAGACAAUGAUCUUUUGCAUACUGCUCCUCUGCUCUCUACCGAUUUAAAGUAACUGCCACUGCAUUGUAUUAUCUGACCUGAUUGAGUAGAAGUACCCUCAACUCAAAGCAAUCAUCUACCCUCUUUUAGACUCAGCUGAUUACGGGAUGCGUAGAGUUUGUGAAAUUUAAAAAUUACCAGAAACGCCUACCAUGGUAAACAGUUUGCAGUCGACCUUCAAUCAAAUACACACUGAAAAAAAAGUUCGGUCAUAUGAACCGACGUUUUCAAACCAAGCCGAACCAUAAUUAAAACUCGGUUGCAUGAACCGAGGACACGGCUCUUACAACUGAGAGAGCGGUCACAUGAAUCGAACAGUGCGGUCGAUAUUGAACACCGUACAUUUGGUUCAUAUGACCGAAAUUUUUUUUCUCAGUGCAACUCUGAAAAUUAAGUACGCUCCCUAUUUGGUGAAAAAGAUUACCAGAAAGAUUCCCUAUUUUAUUUGACACUGGUAUAGAUUUUCGUCAAUUUUUUUUAUUGACCACAAAAAUCGGAGUCUUUACUGAAAGCACAAAUGUAUUUCAUGUUAUGUGAUAGUAAUUACAGAAAAUUCCUCCAGCUAGGGUCUCGAACCCUCUCAUCUCUUACUACACUUACAUCCAAAGUCAAUCUUGAUUCUUUCUUUAAAAACCGUUUACGUCCAUACAUCCAGACAUUGGCAAAAAAGGCAUUGAGCGCAGAAAAGACAUAGAAACUGUAUUGUUUCAUUGUUUCAAAGUUUGACUGUUUUAUUGUUGUUUCCUUCAACUGUUUUCCGUGUAACGAAAUGAAAAAAAUCGAUUUAAAGUAGCGUUAUAUGUACAGAAAAUCCCCCUCAAACUCAGAAAACAAUGAUUUCACCCAAUUUCGGUUGUGAUUUUGCAGAAUCUUCACAAUUAAUUUAUACGUUAGAGAGGGAACUGUUGAGUGCAUUUUCUGGAACGAAAAGAGAAUUGUAAAAUUAUCUAUGAAGAAUAUUCGGUAAACGUUCAAGCUAAUUUCAUACAUUUGCUCUGACCAUGAUAGAUGAAGCAUUAGCGGGAAUUUUGAGUCACCGCAACCGAAAAGUGCCUUUUCCGGUACUUCAAUCGGAUGAUAAAAUCGCAAUCUGAUUCAAAACGCACUCUCACGGUGCUCGAGCUCUUAAAGAAUGGUGCCUCACUCUAAUUAAGAAUCACACAUUGGACGAGUGAGCGAUCGAUCUCUCAAUAAUUACGACUUGUAAUCGCACUGAUAUUAUGAUGAUACCUCAUUUUUUCGAAAUUAUCGGUACUUUUCGAAAGCGAAAAGAAAAGCUGCGAGUCGAUGAGAUGAACCGCGGUCAAUGCACGCUUUUCAUUCACCUGCUCCGACUUUUUAUCGAGGAAGACAUUCGAUUACGCUAAUUUCACUCGUCACACAGUGGAUCGAGUCAAUGGAAGAGGUCUGAUAAAAUUUGCCAAUUUUAAACGUUUAUAACUCCGUUUAUGCGAAACUUUGAGGCUCUGAUACGGUUCCAUUAGUUUCCUCGUGAAAUUUUCUUCUAGUGGCACCGCUUGAACUUUAAAAUGUGACGAAAUAAAC
rnacentral:lncRNA from 1 species